rnacentral:rRNA from 1 species
GUAAUUUAGCCAGGUAGAGAGUAUGUCCUGAACCAAAGAUUGGCCGUAUUUAUCUUUUAAAGACCUGUCCGUAUUGAAGUCCCGAUGNAAGUACUUAUUUUGUUUCCAUUUGGAAACCUCCGCAUCAGAGAUCUUUUUAGAGUUAAUAUUUUAUCAAUAAGUAUAUUAUGGCCAGGCAAGGGCCAUUAAUAAAUAAGUGGAAAUGGGUUACAAUAUUAUUAUGUACACGGAUUAUUAAUUUAUUAUUAGUAUGAAGGGGAUUUACCAGUAAAAUUAUUAUCCUUUUUAAUUUGAUCUUAGCUCUAUAAUAUGCACACAUCGCCCGUCGCUCUUAUUAUAAAAUAAGAUAAGUCGUAACAUAGUAGGUGUACCGGAAGGUGAUCCUAGUA